rnacentral:rRNA from 1 species
UACGGAAGGCAGCAGUGGGGAAUAUUGCACAAUGGGCGAAAGCCUGAUGCAGCUAUGCCGCGUGUAUGAAGAAGGCCUUAGGGUUGUAAAGUACUUUCAUCGGGGAAGGAAAAACAAAACUAAUAAUUUUAUUUCUUGACGUUACCCGAAAAAGAAGCACCGGCUAACUCCGUGCCAGCAGCCGCGGUAAUACGGAGGGUGCUAGCGUUAAUCAGAAUUACUGGGCGUAAAGAGCACGUAGGUGGUUUUUUUAAGUCAGAUGUGAAAUCCCUGGGCUUAACCUAGGAACUGCAUUUUGAAACUGAAAUACUAGAGUAUCGUAGAGGGAGGUAGAAUUCUAGGUGUAGCGGUGAAAUGCGUAGAUAUCUGGAGGAAUACCUGUGGCGAAAGCGGCCUCCUAAACGAAUACUGACACUGAGGUGCGAAAGCGUGGGGAGCAAACAGGGAUUAGAUACC